ensembl:snoRNA SNORA74 Small nucleolar RNA SNORA74
UCCAGCGCUCAGUCAGCUGUCCAGUUUGUGUCUGGAACGGCGUUACAGUGCUGGUAGAGGAAGCUCCUGGAUCGGCCUCACUGUGGCAGGUUCUGUUUUAGGACCUGCUGCUGCUGAGCGGUCGCAGGGCUCAGCCCAGUGAGAGUGGACUGUUCCGGUUCUGCUGCGGGACGGUCCUAGUACAGGGCUAUACAAA